AGUGGAUGGGGAGCAACCUAGUUGUGCGUGUGUAAAGGUAGUGCCAAGAAAAGCGGUGAUCAUGAUGAAAAUCAAUUCCCGGUACCCGAAACCGACACAGGUGGGCAAGUAGAGAAUACUAAGGGGCGCGAGGUAACUCUCUCCAAGGAACUCGGCAAAAUGACCCCGUAACUUAGGGAGAAGGGGUGCCACCGAGAGGUGGUCGCAGUGAAGAGGCCCAGGCGACUGUUUAGCAAAAACAUAGGUCUCUGCAAACUCGAAAGAGGAGGUAUAGGGGCUGACGCCUGCCCAGUGCCGGAAGGUUAAAGAAGUUGGUCAGUCUUAGGAUGAAGCUAGCGACUGAAGCCCCGGUGAACGGCGGCCGUAACUAUAACGGUCCUAAGGUAGCGAAAUUCCUUGUCGGGUAAGUUCCGACCCGCACGAAAGGCGUAACGAUCUGGGCGCUGUCUCGGAGAGAGGCUCGGCGAAAUAGGAUUGUCUGUGAAGAUAUCGACUACCUGCAUUUGGACAGAAAGACCCUAUGAAGCUUUACUAUAGCUUGGAAUUGUGUUCGGGCUUCCUGUGCGCAGGAUAGGUGGGAGGCGUAGAAGGUAUUCUUGUGGGGAUACUGGAGCCAACGGUGAGAUACCACUCUCAGGAGGCUAGAAAUUCUAACUUAAUUAAGGACAGUUUCAGGUGGGUAGUUUGACUGGGGCGGUCGCCUCCAAAAAGGUAACGGAGGCGUACAAAGGUUCCCUCAGACUGGUUGGAAAUCAGUCGAAGAGUGCAAAGGCAGAAGGGAGCUUGACUGCGAGAAGUACAGUUCGAGCAGGGUGGAAACACGGUCUUAGUGAUCCGACGGUGCUGUGUGGAAGGGCCGUCGCUCAACGGAUAAAAGUUACUCUAGGAUAACAGGCUGAUCUCCCCCAAGAGUUCACAUCGACGGGGAGGUUUGGCACCUCGAUGUCGGCUCAUCGCAACCUGGGGCGGAAGUACGUCCCAAGGGUUGGGCUGUUCGCCCAUUAAAGCGGUACGUGAGCUGGGUUCAGAACGUCGUGAGACAGUUCGGUCCAUAUCCGAUGUAGGCGUGAGAAUAUUGAGAGGAGCCUUCCUUAGUACGAGAGGACCGGGAAGGACGCACCGCUGGUGUACCUGUUAUGAUGCCAAUUGUAAACGCAGGGUAGCCAAGUGCGGAGAGGAUAACCGCUGAAAGCAUCUAAGUGGGAAGCCCACCUCAAGAUGAGUAUUCUGGUGUAAGGUCACGGGAAGACGACCCGUAAAUAGGCACGAGGUGGAAGUGCAGAGAUGUAUGAAGCCGAAGUGUACUAAUAGACCGUCGGCUUGACC
rnacentral:rRNA from 1 species